AACGAACGCUGGCGGCAGGCCUAAAACAUGCAAGUCGAACGCUAUAGCAAUAGGGAGGGGCGCACGGGUGAGUAAGGCGUGGGAACGUGCCCUUCAGUACGGAACAACGUUGGGAAACUGACGCCAAUAGCGUAUAAUAUCACCGGAUCAAAGAUUUAUGGCUGAAGGAGCGGCGCGCGUCUGAUUAGCUAGUUGGUGAGGUAAUGGCUAACAAAGGCUACGAUCAGUAGCUGGUCUGACGGGAUGCACAGCCACACUGGGACUGAGACGAGGCCCAGACUCCUCCGGGAGGAUGCGGUUAGGAAUAUUGGACAGUGGGCGAAUGCCUGAUCCAGCCAUGCCGGGUGUGUGAUGAUGGCCUUGGGGUUGUAAUGCACUUUGGUUGGGGAUGAUAAUGACCGUACCCAAAGAAGAAGCCACGGCUAAAUUCGUGCCAGCCGCCGCGGUAA
rnacentral:rRNA from 1 species